UCAUUUUUGUAUAAAGCACUUUGUUCAACCGGAGGGUGAAAUCCAGCGCUGACUAAUUAAAAACCUGGGAUUCCUGCUUCUCUCUCACACAAUAGGAAAUAAGCUUGAAACAUGAUUCAGAAAAUGGAUCAAGUAUGUGUCAGAUUUUGAGCAAGGAGGCAUUCUGCCUUUGUACUUGUAUUUUGUUCGUGCACAAUCAACUGAGGCCUCUCCGGUUCAUGUUGCAAGGUAAGAUUUUAUAAGGCAUUCCAAUGGGGAAUGCAUCCUGCAAAAGAUUGUACAAGAAAGAUGGUAUCAAGCCACAUGGUUCUGAUGCGGCCCGAUUCUCCAACAGAACAACAAACCAGCUAACAUCCAACAACAAACCAGCAAACAUCCAACGAAACUGUUAGUGUGUAUGUAUAGAGAGUGGAAGCGGGAAAUGGCCAUCCCCAUUUCCAGGCUUUCCAUUUCUCGCUCUCACCGGCUCUCCCAUUCUUUUUCUCUCCCAACUUUCCAAAUAAAGAGUCAUUUACAAAGGCAAGGACAUUUCAUUGCUCUGUUACAUCGGAAUUCAAUUCCCUUAGUUAAGUUUGAAUACUCAAUUUUAUUGCCUUCCUUUGCUUUGAAGUUGUUGUAGGUGUUCAUUUCAUAUACAUACACCAAAUUGACAUAAAGGUUAUGUAAGAAAAAGAUAAUCUUGGUAACCAAUUAGUUAGUCUCCUGGGUUCUUGAUAUCACAAUAAUUUGGGAUUACUGGAUUAUUAUUUGUAAAGACAUUUGGAUUAAUGUGUAGUUGAUUUAUUUUGCUUUGGUCCAGACCAUAGGUGUACUUUUGUGGAACUCACCUCAUUCGACACCCCAUAAAGUUAUUUCAUUCUUUCAAAUCACUGGUUAAUCUAUGAUUUGUAUGCCAUUAUGUCUAUCUUCUCAUUUCUAGAAUCUAAGUCUAGUGCUUUUACUAUUUUUUGGUAAUUAAGUUUAGUGCCACUACGAAUUUGCCAAAUGUCAAUUUUUAAUUUUAAAUUUUCCACAUUCUAUAACUCUUUGUUUUUUAGGGUUGACAGAGGUGGGCAAUAUGUUUUCUUUGUGAGCAGCUGCAAUGGAGGAGUCAUUGCUGUUGCUGAUGGCGUUUCUGGGAAUGGAAGGAUGUUACGGAGCUGGAGCCAACUAGUCACCGGAAUUGAGCACUUCAAGACUCCAGUCCCUUUUUCGUUUUGCCCUUUGCUUUGAGUUUCUGGAUAUUACUGGCUGUGCUUGCUGUCAGGGUGAAAUCAUCAGAAGUGAUUCCAUUGGAGCUGGUUUCCAUCUUGUUCUGAAGGUCAUCAUUUGGAACAUGGGCAGUGGGAAUGCAUUGAGCAUCAUCAUUGGAUUUACCUUUGCUUUCUGGGACAACUGACAUGUCAUUGGCUUGGGUAGGGGAAAUAUUAUUGGUUUGGACUGACUGGAACAUGUGUGGUUUGAAUGGAGAGAGGUCAAUAAGAAGUUUGUGGCUGGUGAGUUCUGUUCUGGUUUUCUUGGACUUGGGAAAUUGGCAUAAUGGAAAUGGGGGGAUGGAGGCAGUGAUAGUGUUAGAUGGUGAGACAGCAGGGCAACUCUGUGGUGGUUUGCUGGUUUUUUGGGGCUUGAGGGUGUGGUGUGGGAACGAGAGGUGACACAGUAGGUUGAGAGGGAGGGUUGAUAGGACAAGAUCUGGUAGGGCUAAGACUAUGGUACCUGUUCAUGUCUCUAGAAUCACUAUUGUGCAUAGAUGGAUUAAUUCCUCUUGAUUUUGCUUGAGAGGGCUUUUCUUGUAGGUGACCCCACCUGCCAGUCAGAAUGUUGGUUUGACCUUCAUGGUUGGGAUGGGCAUCAUCAUUUGCAUGGUGAUGGUAAAGUUUGGGGCUGGGAGCGUCAGUUGCAAGGGUUGAGGGCUCAGGGGGUUGAAUGAGAGGCUAGUUUGAUUCUGAAUGGUUCAGGUAUGAGCAAGAGUGACAGUCCUUAGGGAGCGAUUGGUACUCCACUCUGAUUUCUGUGAUCUUGUUGUCCUUGCUCUUGAGGCUAUCAGCUGGCCCAUCGCUCCAUUUCCUCAAGCUGAGUUGGUUGCCUGAGAUGGACCAUGGUCCCUUAGAGAGGACAGAGGAGGCAGCUGCAGGGUUGGUGAAUUGGAAAUAAAAGGCUCCUUUUCCAUCAGCAGAGGUUUCACAAGCCGAGAGUUUUUCCAGAGCAUGGUAGCUGUUGCUUCCACAAGUUUAUAAGAGAAACUUCAAUAAAGAGCACAACAUAGGAUAGAUUUUCUUGGAAUUUACAGAGAAACUCCAAUAAAGAGCACAACAGGGCUGAUGACCUGUUGGUCUCCCAUCCAGGGAUUUGGGCAAAGUAACAUCCGGGUGGGGAUGUUCCACCCCAGGUACUGCAUGGCAAUACCUUGACAAAGUUCUUUACUAGUUUAAUAUGGGUAGAGAAUCCUCUAUCCUAGUGAGCUGUUUUUUUUUUAUUUUUUAUAUUAUGUCAUGUAUGUCCUGUAUCAAAACCUAUCUAUGAUAAUAUUAGGUUUGAAAAGCACAGAAUGGAAAUUAGGGAAAGCAUAAGCUUCUCAUCACUUGAAAAGUAGAGUAAUAGCUAUGACAGUACAAGUUUCUAUCUUUUUAAAUCCCAUCAGUAAUCAGCUUAUGUAGCUUCUUCUCAUCACUUGAUGAGUUAUUAUUGAAAUGCACGGCAGAAAAGUACGUAGUUAUGAGAGUAAAAGUUUAAUUAUAUUAAAUCCUCACCAGCUUAUAUGCUUCUGAUCAAUUGCUUCGAUCCUUUUUCUGAUUAGAAAUGAUGAGGGGGGCAAUUUCCUUCACUCGUUGUUCAGUCAUUACCACAGUAACUGGAGGUGCAGGAAUUUCUGCUGGCUUUCUGAGUUUCCAGGUUAGAAAGACAAAGGGUAACAGUUGCAAGAGCAACACAAGAUCUGUAAAAGAAAAGGUGCUUAGAAUACAUUGACAUAAAUUAUUGAUAUAUCUAUCCCCUCUCUUCCAGGAAUCAUAUCCUUAUCGGCCCUCUUUUUCUUGUUAGCAUCCUUAUUAUCACUCUUUUUUCCAUUAUCCUCAUCAUUAUCAUCCUUUUUGGCUUUCAUGGUUAACUUGGAAUUUCCUGCAUUCAUAACAUUGUUCAUUAUAAAUUGUGUAUAUAAAAUAUAAGUUGGAACAUUAAGUUGGUAUAAAACUACCAAGCAGAUGAUUUUUGCCCUUUUGAAUGCUGAUCCCUUUCCAAGGUAUCAUCCCUGAAAAUUAAAAUGAAUCUAAAGUAAUUAGAUGAGUUAACAAUUAUGCAAAUUCAGAUCAAUUCAAACACAUUUAUUUAUAUUAGUGAGCACAGAUUCAGAGACCAAGUUAAAUAAUCAGAUCAAUGGCACAUACGCACAAAAUGUACGAAAGUACUUUGUCUUGAAUCACAAAAUUUCAUUAAAAAAGGAGCAGUUAUCUAUUGAUUCUUUAGAUACGAUUCAAACAGGUCUGGACAAAAUGCACAAUUUCAUAAUAAAAAAAACAGUUAUAUAUUGAUAUACGAUUUAAACAAAUCUGGACAACAAAUAUACCUCUCUUGAUACGGAGGUUUCUUUGAAGAUCCAGUAAUCCGUUUCUUGCUCCGAUUGAUUGAUAUAAAGUUGUGAAAUCCGUUGCCUUCAUCUGUGUGAACCUACAAGUGGUUUGCAGAAUCGCCGCCUCCAUUCUCUCUCUCUCUCUGUCUUCGGGAAUAAAUUUUGUUAGGGUUUGGGUUUACAUUUAUUUUGUUAAAAAAAAAAAAAAAAAAAAAAAAAAAACCAACCAGUCAACUAGUUCAAUGUAGGUUUAAAUUGAACUGAACUAUUAGUAAUUGAUAACCAUAUCUAAUAAUUUUUUGGGAAAAUGCUAAACAUCACAAAUUAUUCACAAAAAUAACUCGAAUUAGGUGGCCAAUGGUGUAGCUAAUGAUAUGGCAAUGUGUUUAGUGUGAAAGCAAUUUCCUUUAGAGAAUUUAGUAUAUAACAAAGAGAGAAAAAAAGUAAGGGUAAAUUGCACUCACACCCCAGGCUUAGGUUAAAGACACCUAGCUACAACUUGGACACUGUUUGGAUAAUGACACCCUCUAGAUUUGCAAAAUUGAACAAUUACACCCUAACUACCUUUGGCACAAAGUGAAAUUACUUUAUUGCCCUUUUACUUAUCAAUUGACCCAUUGGAAUGUUGAAUUACCCAUUUAACCUUCUAACUAUUUUUAAUCUACCAAAGUAACAUCUCCAUCGCUAUACAGAAUCCAUAUAGAUAUGUAUAUAUAUAUAUAUGUAUGUACGUAUCAUCUCCUUCUCUUAUACAUAUACAAUAGAUGUUUUUCUAGGAAUUGUCCUAAUUUUUUUAAUACAAUUUUUGAAAGAAAAGCACAAAUAAAGUCUUAUGUUAGACUUCAAAAAUAGAGUUAUAAGCUUAAUUCCUGAAAAAUAUUCACAUGAACUUCCAGUCAUGUCUUCUGCAAGCAUUAGUAAAGGCAUAGGUGCGUGAGUACUAACUAGGAAAAAAAAAACUUAAUUAAACAACAAAGUUGAGAUUAAACUAUUGAGAAAUUUAAUUUUUCUUCACAUAUUUCUUUGUUGAAGAAUAAUAACAUGGAUUUCAAAUUGUAUAAUGAGUACUCCACGGUCGGGGAAAUGUUGUGUUGCACUCGUCUUAAAUACUUAACAUUGGUUUUAUUAGAAGUUAAACAUCAAAAUAAAAUUUAUAAAUUUAAUAUAAAACGGAUUGAAAAAAAAAAAAAAAAAAAACUCACAAUUCAAAGAAAAAAUUUAAAAUUAUGUAACUUUAUACAAAUAUUCAAAUGUCAUAGUUUUGCUAUACCUGACAUCACUGUUAUGUAACGAUUCGAACUUGAGGGUCCGAAUCAUUAACCGGGUCCUUAAUCGAACCCGAAGUCAUCUAAGGGCAAUACGAUCAUUUCCAAGGUUGAAGUAUAAUUAGAAUGCAUUCCCUGUCUUUGUAGUACAUCUUAGUGUCAUGAAGUAGGUCGGGAUUGGACAAAAUGGGAAAAGAACAACAAAUGGGGAAGUAGCAGGAAUCGGUCGACGUGUGCAAGUUACACGUUGACCGGUUCAUGCCUUUCGGUCGACGUGUCGAUCGGUUUGGCUCUGCACAUGAAAUAUGGUUCUGUCGAGAUACCGGUUGACGCCUAGGCUUCCACACGUCUACCGGUUUGUGCUUCCUUAGCCUUUAAGGCCUGUUUUCGAUGGUUUAAGUCCCCGGCGCCCUUAUUGGUCCAUUUGCAACCUUAAACAUGAUCUAAAUAUGUCUCAAAAACAUAAAUUUUAUCGCAUACAACACAAUUAAACAUCCAUGUAUCUAUAUAAUCAUUAAACGAGCUUGGUGUGUCAUAUAUAGUCAAAUGAAUCCGGUUACAUCAUAACAUGGCCCUACGGUCCUACAUAGGACUAGAAAUCCUAAUGAGAUCACAAAAGAUACAAAGAUGGUCAAAACUAUUUCUAUCUGUAAGAUGAAUACAUAUACCGGUCUUAUACAAGCUUAUAGCAAAAUAGAUACAUGUACAUUACAUUUCUUCAAAACAUCAAUUAUUACAUUGAUUACAAAAAAAAAAUCAAAGGUCCCUCUAUAAGCUUAUGGGGGAAUAUAAUCCACCACCUCAUUUCCGUGACUUGAAAAUGGUAUGUGAGCACAACAGCUCAGUAGAUGCCUAAAACGCACUCUUUAAUGAUCCCGUGAAUUACACGCAAAGAAUGGAAUAAAGAAAGGGGGUCAUGCUCAAUUUGGAGAGGAAUAAUCAAUAUGAUUCAUGUCACACAAAUCCAAGUAAAAUCAAUGCAAUGAUAUGCAGUGCCAAUGCGAUGCAAUGCCCACUCCCCAUUUCCAAAACCUUUACCAACACAACAACCGCCAAACCGUUAAUGUAACCUGGCCUGGGGCGACUCCCCGGCAUCACGAGAGAAGAAUUGACUAACGAUUCCUAACCUAAGACAACUCCUUAGUGUCAUUUGGGACCUAGGUAACUCAACUACACAUAGGGCAGUCUCUGUACGUUCCCUCUAGGUUUCAUUAACCCCAUGGACAUAAGGCGACUCCUUGCCGUCUGGUUUUUGCAAACUUCUUUUCAAAACCUUUCCCAAAAUCAAUUUUCAUUUGAAAAUCAAUGUCCCAUUACUCACCCAAUGCCAAUGCAUGAAUGUUUUAUGAAUUUCAACGUCAUGCCAAUAUGAAUUUUUUUUUUACAUCAACUAGAAUCAUAUUUGCAUGCUUUGGAGAUAAUUAAUACAACAAUUAUCAUGCUAUCAAUUUCUCAACCAUGACAUUUUAAGCAUGUAAAGCAUGUAGUAAUAUCAAUCAAGCAUAUAUCUUCACAAUAGCUCACAUAAGCAUGUAAUUCAACACAUUUCAUCACAUAAAACAUAAUAUCAUGCCUUAAAAUCACAAUUUUGGGCAUGAUAUAUUCUAUAAUACAAAUAUAAGAGAAUUAAUUCACAAAAACCAAAGGUUGUUGGCUUAAGGAACCCUUACCUCAAGAAGAAGAGUAAAGAAGAAGAGAAUUAACUCACAAAAAACCAAAGGUUGUGGGCUUUAGGAACCACUACCUCAACACAUUUCGCCCCUUUAUGCAUAUGCAUACAUUAAACAUGCCACAAAUAUAUAAUAAAACACACAACCACGUCGAUACACUACAAAUAAUGAUAUAUGAAAUAUAAUGAUCUCGAAAUGUAGCCCCGAGCACCAAAAAUCCAAGUGCGGGACUCAUACGGGACCUCCCAGACCAAAAAUCCGAAAAAUGGGAAAAAGACUAGAAAUGCAUUUCUAAGAGCUCUAAAUUCAAAGAAAUGUCCCAAACCACACUUGGAACUUACGUGGCAUGCUAACCGGGGGGUGGCACACAAAACGAGGCGAGAAAAUAAAUUAAUUCAAAAGUUUGAAAAAUGCCCGAAAAAUGAAAAAUUGCGAAACGUCACAUGUUAGUUGAACAUUAAGGCUAUGUUUGGUAUAGUGGAAAAGAAAAGAAAGGAUAACAUUAGUUUGGAAGGAAAAAAAGAGAAAGGAAAGGACAUGAUAGUGUUAAUUACUUGUCAUGUUUGGUUGAUUAAUAAAGGAAAAGAAAGGAAAUGAUAGUGAUCAUGUUUGGGGAAAGAAAUGAAUGAAAGCUAUUGUAAUGAAUUUACAACCAUACCCUUUUUCAUAGAAUUUUCUAUUAUAAAAAUUAAGGCAAAUUUGGUAUUAACAAAGUUUCAUUAAAAAUGUUAGUUUUUCCUUCCCUUUCCUUCCAUUUCCUCCCACUUUGGGAGGAUAACAAAAGCUACUAUUUAUGCAUCAUUUUAUCCCUCCAAAUUGUUCUCUUUCCUUUCCAUCCAACAUUUCCUAUCAAAGACAUUUUUUUUAUUUUCUUCCAUUACCAUUCUUUUAUUUUCCUUCCAUUUCCAUUCUACAAAACUGACCUAUUUUUGUUUAAUUUCAACAUAAAUGUAACCAAACGAGUGUGACAUAAUUGAUACAUGGUUACAUUUUCCUCCCCCAUUCUCUCUCUCUCUCUCUAUAUAUAUAUAUAUAUAUGUAUAUGUGUAAGAGAAGGAGAUGAUAUAUAUAUAUAUAUACACACACACGUAUGUAUUCUGUGUAGUGAUGAGUAGUUAGAAGGUUAAAUGGGUAAUUUAACAUUCCAAUGGGUCAAUUGUAAGUCAAUUCCUAAGUCAAAAGGGCAAUAAGGGACUUUUACCUUAUGUCAAAGGUAGUUGGGGGGUGAUUGUUCAAUUUUGCGAACUUGGGGGGUGUCA